rnacentral:rRNA from 1 species
UACGGGGGGGCAAGCGUUGUUCGGAAUUACUGGGCGUAAAGGGCUCGUAGGUGGCCAACUAAGUCAGACGUGAAAUCCCCAGGCUCAACUUGGGAACUGCGUCUGAUACUGGAUGGCUUGAAUUCGGGAGAGGGAUGCAGAAUUCCAGGUGUAGCGGUGAAAUGCGUAGAUAUCUGGAGGAACACCGGUGGCGAAGGCGGGUCUCUGGGCCGAUACUGGACGCUGAGGAGCGAAAGCGUGGGGAGCGAACAGG